rnacentral:lncRNA from 1 species
AGUUGCCUCCUUGCACCCUAGAGAAACAGCAGCUCUGGCCCUGACCUGGCCUCCAUCACCUGCUCAGGUGUGGAGCUUCUGGGCAAUUUGAGCCCCCAUCACCAUGUGCUCCUCCACCUGGGCAGGACCCAGAGCCAUGCUGGGCUGCCUGGCCCUUCUCUGGGCCCUCCUGGUUCCUGGCCAAGAGAUCAGGCUGGUACAGCUGCCCGUGAUAGUGUCGCGUGUGGGGAACUCUGUCACCAUGCCCUGCCGGAUCACUACAUCCGUCAGCUACAUCCAUUGGUAUCGCCAGCUGGAGGGCCAGGCCCCUGAGAGGCUCCUCUAUCUGGCCACGUCGCAGCGGGAUGUGCAGUGGGAUUCCGUCCUGCAAGGCAAUAAGGGGAGAAGCCAGAAGUUAGAAGCCCAGGAAACAAUACUGGUAAUAUCUCAGUGUCCUCAUCCAUUGGCACGCCUGGCACUCAAACUCAUGUUGUUAGACAAUGGUCAUCGUAGUGGAUGACUAUGGGGAUGACUCAUCUCUCUGGGGAUGAGCCAUGGAGCCCUCUGCCCCACAUUCCUUGAACGUCGCUAUACGUGGAAUUUGGAGUAGAGAAUCGAAAUUCUCUCUUCUGUAAAAUGAGGUGGUUGCACUGUGAAAAUUAUGACUCUGAUUUCUGCAUUCAAGUAAAAUCAUACAAAUCAGGUAUCACUAUGUUCACUACCUUCUUAUGGAACCUGUUCAACUUCUUGAAAAGAAAAGAAGAAAAGAAGAGAAAAGAAAGAGCUGUGUCACUUAUUCUCCAGCCCUGAACAGGAAAUCCCUCACCUGCUAUAUGUGGAGGAGAAAUAAAAGCUCUUUGAGGUCUGAGCUGAAUAGAAAU